UACGUAGGGUCCGAGCGUUGUCCGGAAUUACUGGGCGUAAAGAGCUCGUAGGUGGUUUGUCGCGUUGUUCGUGAAAACUCACAGCUCAACUGUGGGCGUGCGGGCGAGACGGGCAGACUAGAGUACUGCAGGGGAGACUGGAAUUCCUGGUGUAGCGGUGGAAUGCGCAGAUAUCAGGAGGAACACCGGUGGCGAAGGCGGGUCUCUGGGCAGUAACUGACGCUGAGGAGCGAAAGCGUGGGGAGCGAACAGG
rnacentral:rRNA from 1 species